rnacentral:sRNA from 1 species
GCAUAGCGCUCGAAGCGCUCCUGCGGCCACAGGCGCGGCGUCCUCGGCGGCGAGCGGCAGCGAGUGGGAGCCAGGACGCCGGUGCAGUCGCAGCGCGCGGAGGAACCCGGGCUGUGCCGGGAGCUGGGCGGCCACGUCCGGACGGGACCGAGACUCCUUGUAGCGCAUUGCGGCGACCUCGCCUUCCCCGGUCGCGAGCGCGCAGCUGCUUGAAAAGCCGCGGAACCCGAGGACUUUUCUCCGGUCCGAGCUCGGGGCGCCCCGCAGGGCGCACGGUACCCGUGCUGCAGUCGGGCACGCCGCGGCGCCGGGGCCUCCGCAGGGCGAUGGAGCCCGGUCUGCAAGGAAAGUGAGGCGCCGCCGCUGCGUUCUGGAGAAGGGGGGCACAAGGUCUGGAGACCCCGGGCGGCGGACGGGAGCCCUCCCCCCGCCCCGCCUCCGGGGCACCAGCUCCGGCUCCAUUGUUCCCGCCCGGGCUGGAGGCGCCGAUCACCGAGCGCCGCCGGGAGUCGAGCGCCGGCCGCGGAGCUCCUGCGACCCCGCCAGGACCCGAACAGAGCCCGGGGGCGGCGGGCCGGAGCCGGGGACACGGGCACACGCCCGCUCGCACAAGCCACAGCGGACUCUCCCGAGGCGGAACCUCCACGCCGAGCGAGGGUCAGUUUGAAAAGGAGGAUUGAGCUCACUGUGGAGUAUCCAUGGAGAUGUGGAGCCUUGUCACCAAACUCUAACUGCAGAACUGGGAUGUGGAGCUGGAAGUGCCUCCUCUUCUGGGCUGUGCUGGUCACAGCCACACUCUGCACCGCUAGGCCAUCCCCAACCUUGCCUGAACAAGAUGCUCUCCCCUCCUCGGAGGAUGAUGAUGAUGAUGAUGACUCCUCUUCAGAGGAGAAAGAAACAGAUAACACCAAACCAAACCCCGUAGCUCCAUAUUGGACAUCCCCAGAAAAAAUGGAAAAGAAAUUGCAUGCAGUGCCGGCUGCCAAGACAGUGAAGUUCAAAUGCCCUUCCAGUGGGACCCCAAACCCCACACUGCGCUGGUUGAAAAAUGGCAAAGAAUUCAAACCUGACCACAGAAUUGGAGGCUACAAGGUCCGUUAUGCUACCUGGAGCAUCAUAAUGGACUCCGUGGUGCCCUCUGACAAGGGCAACUACACCUGCAUUGUGGAGAAUGAGUACGGCAGCAUCAACCACACGUACCAGCUGGAUGUCGUGGAGCGGUCCCCUCACCGGCCCAUCCUGCAAGCAGGGUUGCCCGCCAACAAGACAGUGGCCCUGGGUAGCAACGUGGAGUUCAUGUGUAAGGUGUACAGUGAUCCGCAGCCGCACAUCCAGUGGCUAAAGCACAUCGAGGUGAACGGGAGCAAGAUUGGUCCAGACAACCUGCCUUAUGUCCAGAUCUUGAAGGUAAUCAUGGCACCAGUCUUUGUGGGCCAGUCUACUGGGAAGAAGACCACUGUCUCGGGGGCUCAAGUUCCUGUGGGCAGGCUCAGUGCCCCCGAAUGGGAUCAUUCCUCGCACUUCAGGCACACACACUCCAUCUUGGUAGGGAUCUAGCCACAUCCCCCAGGACUAGUGACAGAGGUCACAAAGUGGAGGUGAGCUGGGAACAGAGGGCUGCAGGGGUGGGUGGUGCUGGUCUGUAAUAAGCUUUGAGAGCAAUGUCACUGGGGCUUUAGGGUCAGCUACACAAGGAAGGCAUUUGGACCCCUGCCUUUUCAUUGCCCGAAACCAGAGCCUUUCCACCAAGCGUUUCCCAGUCUUAGCCCUGUGUCCCGAGUUACGUACGAUCUUUCUGGCAAAUGGGGUGCAUGAUAAGAGCAUCUGUUAGGAAGAGUUGGAAAAACAAAUGCCACGUAUAAAUUCUAAGCCAUAUGAGGAGUAAUGGCAUU